GAGGCGUCUAAGGUAGGCUCCCACUACAUUACCUUACUGAUGAGUCUAGUAGUGGGAAGCCAGGACGAAACGCCAA
rnacentral:hammerhead_ribozyme from 15 species